GCGGUGGUUCAGUGGUAGAAUUCUCAGCUUCCAUGCAAGAGACCCAGGUUCAAUUCCUGGCCAGAGCA
rnacentral:tRNA from 1 species